AACAGGAUUAGAUACCCUGGUAGUCCACGCCGUAAACGAUGUCGACCAGCCGUUGGGUGCCUAGCGCACUUUGUGGCGAAGUUAACGCGAUAAGUCGACCGCCUGGGGAGUACGGCCGCAAGGUUAAAACUCAAAUGAAUUGACGGGGGCCCGCACAAGCGGUGGAGCAUGUGGUUUAAUUCGAUGCAACGCGAAGAACCUUACCUACUCUUGACAUCCUGCGAAUUUGGUAGAGAUACCUUAGUGCCUUCGGGAACGCAGAGACAGGUGCUGCAUGGCUGUCGUCAGCUCGUGUUGUGAAAUGUUGGGUUAAGUCCCGUAACGAGCGCAACCCUUGUCCUUAUUUGCCAGCGCGUAAUGGCGGGAACUCUAAGGAGACUGCCGGUGACAAACCGGAGGAAGGUGGGGACGACGUCAAGUCAUCAUGGCCCUUACGAGUAGGGCUACACACGUGCUACAAUGGUCGGUACAAAGGGUUGCCAACUCGCGAGAGUGAGUCAAUCCCGAAAAGCCGAUCUCAGUCCGGAUCGGAGUCUGCAACUCGACUCCGUGAAGUCGGAAUCGCUAGUAAUCGUGGAUCAGAAUGCCACGGUGAAUACGUUCCCGGGCCUUGUACACACCGCCCGUCACACCAUGGGAGUGGACUGCACCAGAAGUGGUUAGCCUAACGCAAGAGGGCGAUCACCACGGUGUGGUUCAUGACUGGGGUGAAGUCGUAACAAGGUAACC
rnacentral:rRNA from 1 species